rnacentral:rRNA from 1 species
GUGCCUAAUACAUGCAAGUAGAACGCUGAGAACUGGUGCUUGCACCGGUUCAAGGAGUUGCGAACGGGUGAGUAACGCGUAGGUAACCUACCUCAUAGCGGGGGAUAACUAUUGGAAACGAUAGCUAAUACCGCAUAAGAGAGACUAACGCAUGUUAGUAAUUUAAAAGGGGCAAUUGCUCCACUAUGAGAUGGACCUGCGUUGUAUUAGCUAGUUGGUGAGGUAAAGGCUCACCAAGGCGACGAUACAUAGCCGACCUGAGAGGGUGAUCGGCCACACUGGGACUGAGACACGGCCCAGACUCCUACGGGAGGCAGCAGUAAGGAAUCUUCGGCAAUGGGGGCAACCCUGACCGAGCAACGCCGCGUGAGUGAAGAAGGUUUUCGGAUCGUAAAGCUCUGUUGUUAGAGAAGAAUGAUGGUGGGAGUGGAAAAUCCACCAAGUGACGGUAACUAACCAGAAAGGGACGGCUAACUACGUGCCAGCAGCCGCGGUAAUACGUAGGUCCCGAGCGUUGUCCGGAUUUAUUGGGCGUAAAGCGAGCGCAGGCGGUUUUUUAAGUCUGAAGUUAAAGGCAUUGGCUCAACCAAUGUACGCUUUGGAAACUGGAGAACUUGAGUGCAGAAGGGGAGAGUGGAAUUCCAUGUGUAGCGGUGAAAUGCGUAGAUAUAUGGAGGAACAC